GGGCGAUUAACUCAGUUGGUAGAGUGCCAUCUUCACAAGGUGGAAGUCACAGGUUCGAGUCCUGUAUCGCCCA
rnacentral:tRNA from 1 species